GUUGGACAGAUGGGUCAGGUAAAUAGCAAUCCAAUCCAUUAAGCGCUCUCUCAUUUCUUUUCUUUGGAUGUGUAAUGCUGUAACCAAUACUAAAUGUGUUCUUGCUGUGAAGAGUACGGUCGAAUUCACAAACUUAUUUUAAAUGAGCAACCAUUCAUAGACAAGUUUAACUGAUAUUUUUUCAUUUCAUUGGGAUAACGUUUAGAGAACACACGAACUUCCAAGUGACAGAUUGGCGCAAAUUGUACCCAUAAUCUUUUUAUCAAAUUUUCAAUACAUACAUACAAAUUAUAAAUCCAUUAUUUUUUUAACAAAUUUUUAAACAUUUUUUUUAAAAUAAUUUUCAAUAUAUAUAUAUACAUAGCUGCAUGUUAUGUCAUAUUUCUCUCUUUAACCAAACUUUGCACACAAUAAGAAUUCUUCAAUAUAGAAGAGAGCAGAGGCAGAUAAUUGUUGAACUAAAAAUGCACUAGUAAUAUUGUUUUUCCCAAAUGUUGCUCAAACCAAAUUUUAGCCUACUAGAUGAUGCAGGUUGGUUGCUGAAACUUAUCCCACAUCCUCAAUUAGCAUAGGUGGCCCUGCGUGUUGGGGUCGAAAAAAGGAUAGGUUCAAGCUAAACUUCCCACAGGAAAGGAUGUUCCAUGUUUUCCAUCCAGACCAAAGCAGUUAACAGGCUAGCAGCAAAUACACAUUCCUCACACAAAAAAGCAAACGAUAAACGGCCGAAAAUAGCAGGAAACUUGAGAAAACUCCUCAAAAAAAAAAAAAAAAAAAAAAAAACCCGAUAAUGUUAGAAAGAAAGAAAGCCGUUAGGAAUAUUUUGAAAGUGAUUUAUGCAAUAUUUUAUCAUUUCAAAGUAAAAAGUCACUUAAGAAUUAAGAUUGUUGAAUAAUCAGAUCACUUAACAAAAUGCAACAAUUAGAUAACCACACAAUGUUUGGUAAUAUCUCGCAAUUAGAGGUCACAAAGUUACUACUAAGAGUUAACCCAAGCCAUCGUCUGAGUUUCCCCCAUUACAUGAAACGACCAUUAAAAAAGUUUCUCAUCUAGAAUAGAGAGAAGAGACUACUUGCAUUGUCCAACCAAAUCGGGAACAACCAUAAUGGUAAUAAUGUCAGCCAACCAAAAAAACAGGAAUGAUUUACCAUCACAAGUGACAACUUUUUUGUUGGCCAAGACAGAAAACAUCCACUGAUCAUAUAUCACAAAAAUUAUUGCCCACCUAAGCAGAAUACUAAUAAUCUGGUACAACCACCAGCCAUCUCUUCCUUCAUACUUUAUGAAGAGAAACAGCUAACUCACUCUCACCAUUCAAUUUUAACUACUAAUAUUAUGACACCACUCUCAUAUUUGGACUUUUUUUAUUGGGAGUUCCUAAAGUACUAAAUCUCACAAACAUUUAAUGUUUUUUUAUGGGUCUUGAAAGAAAAAAAGAAAACUCUACAAACAACAGAAUUUUUGUGUGUGUGUGUGUGUGUGGGUCAUGUCAUGUCAAUAGAAAUGCAAAAUGCAGCUGGAAAUUAAUACUUCAAAACUCUACCAGUAACUAAAAUCUCCAAGACCUAAAUUUUUUUAAGACUGACUACAAGAGCCAUUGAUUCUUCCGGUGCUUCCUGUUUCAACAUAUUAACAUAAUGUGAAAAAGAAGAAAGAACUUGUCUGGAAUCAAGGCUUACACUUAACUUACACUUCCCCACCCUUUGGAGAGAAAGCUGGCAACUGCUGAAACCUUGAAGACAACCAUUUAGAACAAUUUAUGGUACUUCCCACAUAGAUAGCAGUAAGUGCAACUUUAAAAACAUCAUAUUAUCAGAUACAUCAUAUUGAAAUAAAGAAAUAUUUCAUAAAAGUACCUAAGCAACUGAGCCCAGCCACCAUAGCGAAACUUUGCAAAACCAGCCCAGUAAAA
rnacentral:lncRNA from 1 species